rnacentral:rRNA from 1 species
UACGGAGGGUGCAAACGUUGCUCGGAAUCAUUGGGCGUAAAGCGCACGUAGGCGGCCCGCUAAGUCGGAUGUGAAAUCCCUCGGCUCAACCGAGGACGUGCAUUCGAUACUGUCUGGCUUGAGACCGGAAGAGGUAAGUGGAACUGCGAGUGUAGAGGUGAAAUUCGUAGAUAUUCGCAAGAACACCCGUGGCUAAGGCGGCUCUCUAGUACGGUACUGACGCUGAGACGCGAAAGCGUGGGUAGCAAACAGG